CUUCACUCACACACACACCUAAGGCCAAGAGAGAGAAUUGUAGGAUUUGUGUAGUCUUGUGUUGUUCAAGGCUUGAAGUGUAUGCUAGGAAGUAUUUUGGAAAAGAAGUUUAAAGGAACUACACGAAGAAGAGUGUUAAUAGACAAAGAUUUGAGCUCAAGAAAUUCUAUAGCUAAGGAAGCAUAGUUUACAUUUUAUUUUUAUGUUGACAAAAUUACUAAUAAUUUAUGUGUAUUGUUUUGUGUCUUUAUGGACACCUGUUUUCCUUGUAUUUGUUAUAAGUAUUUUCUAAUGAAGU